GGAAAAGAAACUAACAAGGAUUCCCCUAGUAACUGCGAGUGAAGCGGGAACAGCUCAAGCUUAAAAUCUGCAUGUAAUAAACGACAUGCCGAGUUGUAGCUUAUGGAGGCAGUUAUCGACUCUACGACAUAGUAAAAGUCCUUUUGAAUAAGGCAUCAAAGAGGGUGAAAAUCCCGUAAUUGACUGUGUUAUUAAGUAGGGAAAUGUGAACUGUUUUCUUUGAGUCGGGKUGUUUGGGAAUGCAGCCCUAAUUAGGAGGUAAAUUUCUUCUAAAGCUAAAUAUAAGCAAGAGACCGAUUAGCCAAACAAGUACCGUGAGGGAAAGAUGAAAAGCACUUUGAAAAGAGAGUGAAAAGUAACGUGAAAUUGUUGAAAGGGAACCAGUUGGUAGCCAAGCUUCAUAUUUAGGUAUUUAUAUUUAUUUGUGAGGUCAACAUCGGUUACGACUGCCUGAGAGGAAUAUGUAGGUUAGCGGAGAAAGGUAGGUUAUCCGGUUUGUUAGUUUCGGCUGACAAAUUAAGCUGGAUAAUUGUUAUAGUCUCCAUGGAUCUACUUUAAGCCUAGAGGUGGUUUGUGACCGAGGAACGCAGUGUSUUGUUCUGAAAGGAACGAAUGGGAAGAUGUAGGAGGGUAUUCGUUUCUGUAUUUUUUAUAGACAGCUUGCUGACUAUGAUUGUAGAGAGAUAUAMUUAGUYUUGCAUAUUCACUAAGAAGCA
rnacentral:rRNA from 1 species